UCCCAAGUAUAAAAUCCGGCUCAACGUCUAAGAUGUCUCACUGCUACUUAAAACAGCGAGACAAGUAAAAACUUAAAAUUUGUGAAAAAGUGGAAUCCCUUCAUGAUUAAUUUGUUCUACAUUCGCCGCGUGACGAAAUGUUCAUAAAUCUUUCCGUCGACUGGAAUAUUUUCUCACUUGCAUACAUUUUUUGCUGUAAAUUUAAACGAGACGAAAUCUGCACGGCAGGAGGAGCAUACGCAGCAGUGGCUGUGGGAGAGGGGCGAGUAGGGGUGAAUAAUAAACGGGCAGCUGAACGAUCCAAGUGUAACACGAUAAAGAGAGAACUGGAGAAAGCGGAUCUCCAGCAAGUGUGGAAAUAUAGGUCAGCAACAGAACGGAAUAAUGUGCGAGAGAAAUACAAUGGCAGACUCUCCGCAAUCUGGUUUUCCAGAAUCCCUUGGUAAACUUUCUCCAGUGUAUUUCAUACGCGUUGUUAACAUAUGAGCAGCUUGGCUCCUCCGACAUAAUGGAACUGUUGACUAGAGGCUUGGACCGCAGGAUGUUUUUAAUGGUGACUAAUCCAAAGGCGGUCGUUGGUGGAUGCAGCAGUGUAUACAAGAUCAGAGCCAAAGUGCCAGCCAAUCUGCAAAUUUAUUGAACGAAGAGAGAAAAAUAAAGCAGACAAGAGGAAGGGAAAGAACGUCGAGAGUGUAAUUCCCAAAUUCACACUUCGCCUUGCAGAUGGAUGCAGUUGGGAUUUUAUACUCUUCCCUCGAAUAAUGUGAGUUUGUACGUACGUCUGUGAAUGCAAAACCGGGGGAAUUCUAGUAAUGAUGCACAGUGGGUAUUUACGCUCCAUGAUGUGUUGGGUGCAGGAAUUGUGCUAGGAGGAGAAAGAUGUAUGUCAACGACGUACUGGUGGGUAUGAAGGGUGGGUGGUGGGAGGGGAAAGGAGUUGGAUGGGGAAAAAGUUGUACGGAAAUGUAAUUCAGAAUGUGGAUGCAUGCGUAUAACAAAUGCAGCCAACGUCAAGUCGGAUUGUGGGAGACGGGUAUGUCGAAAUUGCUCCAACUCGGACUAUUAGAAAGAUAAGUCCAAAUUUGAAUCACAAAUGUGUCCUCUUCACUUCCAUUCUCCAACCCAUAAACCAAAUCUUUCCACUUCUGACUUGGAGAGAGAUUUUGGUGGGGAAAAGUUUACUCGCUCUGUCCUUCAGCUUUUAUUGCGCACAAUAGAAUACUAAUAAUGUGGAGCUAUGGACGGAUUGAGUCCCGAUAAUUAUUGCUACGUAUAUGGCUCUACUUCUGUUAUCUAUCUGUUAGCUGUGGCAAGUAAAUAAUUUUAAAAAUCACAAACUAAUAUUACAUAUGCUCAUCAGAGUAUGCAUAUCGCUUCUUUAAAAUUGCGAACAUGGUGUGAAUAUAAAAUGCUCUCUGGUGCAAUACCGGCCAAUGCCAAGAUACCGAGGUGACGGGAAAGAUACCGACAUGGAGGGUUGUGAGUAUAGCGUUCAAAAGUACUUAAUCCACGCGUCAAACGCUAAUCAAUACUACAAGUUUCGACGAUAAAUACAUGGUCAUUGCUAUUUUUAGUUUUUAAUAACACUCGCGCAUUGAUUGAAUCAGUAUCGACCGAAUCCUUGGGAUUUUAAUCACCGCAUAACGCCACUUCUGUGUGCAUGCUGCAAUCCACUCAAGCCAAAUGUCCCGAUUUUUACAUACAGUUAAAUUAAUUGUUUACUUAAUGCUCGCUGGUGGGGAAAGUUGGAAAAAAUCAUGCACGUCAAUUUGGAAGGUGGUGGACACAGUCGAGCGGAAGUAAUUCAGUUUGACGAAGAAGAUGAAACUAAACCAACAUCGUUUGGGUCGGGUUGAGGUCAGUCAAUUACAAUUUCACAGAGGAAACCUCAGGACAACCAUUGCGUGACAGAAGAGAGGAGUGUGGUUCAAACCCUUAGCCAAACCACAAGUACAAGUGGAGAGCAGCUCGUAUUUUGGACAGAGGAAAUUAGUGAAAGCUACUCUGAAUGCAUGAACUCACUCUUUUCACCCUGCUCGAGCCAAAUCAUGAUUAUUCUACCUUGACUGACUGCCUUUUGUGACGGACCCAAUAAUUAAAGCCAAGGAAAUACAUAGAAUGCGAAUGGACGAAUCACACCCAUAAAAAUUCACCACACGAGUACACAAAUUGUAUGCCCAUAGAAGUGUAUAUUUUCAUUCGUGUAAUUAGCCAGUAAGUCAGUCUCAACCAAGGACCCAAAUAAAUAGACAAGUUACAAACCUAGUUUUGACUACUUAAUAAUUGACAUGUUACGAAGAAUUUUGUCCUGUGAUUAGAGAAAUUGUAGGUAACGCUUAGAAAGCGAAAAAUAUUAUUUUGCGAUGAGAUCGUUAAAAUUAAGUGGCACGACGUUAUGAAACAAUUUAUUUUGACAAUGUCUGGCUCAGAAAUCCGAGGCGUUAUGUUAUGGAGUGAGCAGCAUAUGAAAGUAAAGUCAAUGUGUAAUAGAGUUAUUCAUUUGCUAUUAUUUUCUUGAAUUUUUGUUCUACUGCAUUGCAUUUAAGAUAUGCGACGCGACACAAACCCCAGCUCACGUAUCGCAUAUGACGAUCAAUACAUAGUACACAGCAAGUAUUCACUGCACACACACUAAAAAUUUCGACUUGACCACUAAUGAACAUGCAAGUCUAUCCCCUCCAGUGGGUAACGUAGUCAUAUGUAGCUAUAUUACGUGAAAGUUACACCUUUUACAGACAUCGACAACAGAGUUGAAAAGUAAUGUCGACUUUGUUAAUGAUCCCUGUAGGUCAUGAUCUUCAGGUCAGGGGUCACCAAUUUUUUAUUACCUAGCCCAAAUCGAUGCAUGCAUGCAUCGUAUCCUCUCCCAGUUCCUAAACGGUGAGGUUAAAGGUCAAAUAUUGCAUUCAAGCCACGCAUAGCCCCGAACUACGUUUACCGCUACUAUUUAGUUUCUGCUUACUAAAGCUUACUUUAAUCAUGGAAAGUAUAAUAUGGAGAGAGCGCCAGACAGCUAAAUGCAUACGUUUACACACAUAUUUACUGUACUUGCAUAUAUGUACAACUCUGUGCCUUCCGGUGCCAAGAUUUUGAUUUUAGAUUUGUGUCCAUGGCUUAGAUUUCUACAACGUGUGUGGAACACGAAACAUAAUAAGGUUCAUUUUGACUACAACCUCAAACGAACUGUCGUGUUGCAAAGUUUUCCGCACGUUGUAUCAAUAAGGCCUUUCACUAUAGCAAUGUGUGCUCGUACUACUUCUGCCAGUAACUACAAUCAAGUCUGCCACCGCUUUCCCUCCCAAUUUAUUUUGCAACACAUUUCCCUGCAAGUCAUGGCUCUUCCGCUAUGAAUUACGAUUACGAGAUCCUUCAGAGUAGAACUUGCUCGUUAGAGAGUUUCCAGUUCAUUUGCUCCAUGUUCACAAUUUUAUUUGGUUUCUAUUAUUUCGCGUUCGCAAUUUACUCACAAUUCACUGUUGUUUGAAAUAUGCUUCGUAAACGAAUGCUAAAUAACUAGACAUUUUUCUAUCCAACGAACUAAAUGAACGACAAAUGUAUUCCUGAACAAAUUAUUGCCGAGGCACAAUUAAAGUAAUGACGACAUUUCACAUAAUGACAAGAGUAGAAAUAUGUAUUGUUUGAAGAAGAAUUCAUGGAUUCUGAGGACAUAUUAUUUAUUGUAUUUCUAGAAAUAUGUACUUCUUAAAAUCUUGCCAAUACGCCUGAGUUAAGUUGAAGGCAGAAUGGUCCUACAUAUACACAUUGAAGUACAUAUUAUUGGUUGUGUGUGAAGCUAUUUGAAGAAAAUGUGAAGAAAAAUCAUUUUUUGUCUGUCAGCUUAGGCAGUGGCUGUCCAUUUGAAAGUGGAAAGAUUUAGGUCGGAUCGAAUUACUAUUCCGAGGCAAGCACGCUUUCUCCAGCACGACCACCACUCUCGCAGCCACACACAUAGCGAUUGAACCAUUGUCUCUCCUGUUAUCGCCAGAAUCCAUACCAUGAUCACUCCCCAAAAGCAUUAAGAGCUUUGUCCCAUAUUCUCGUCAUGAGUCGUGAGGAGCUCUUUCACAUUCCGCACCACAACCGAUCCUAAUGGUUGGCGAAGGAGGGCUGACGAUCAACUUUGCUUACUAGCAGACGACGUUGCCGUCACGUAAUAUUUUGUUGUGUAAUUAGCAUGAUAGUCAUGAUGAUGCUCUUGUGUUUCCCGGCUACUUUACCAACCUUAUGUGCCAUUGGAUGUGGACCACAGCUGCCUAAGCUAAACCGAUAAACUGAUGUGCUUUCGUUAUCUUCCAUAUAGGGACACGGCUGUAUGCACGUACAUGGUGUACACAUUUUUAUUUCAUUGUACUGUGCCAGACAUUACUUUGAAUAUGCUCGUGGCUAAAUCCUGAAAAGUUAUCAAACAGACUACGGGAAUCUUUAUCCAAGUUGAACUGAAGGGAGGGAGCUUAGGCAACUAUUCUUCGGUUGAGAAAUGGGCGAGACGUUGAUCUUCCCAUCACCGAGACUUGGCUGGAGUACAGUAUUAAAAUAAUGGCACAUUGUUCACCUGCGUCCUCGUGCUCGUCUGCUCCUGGAGAAAGCAAGACUGGAGGAGCAGUCAGGAUGAGAGUGGUCUAGCUCUCUCUCUUCCGUUCCAUGCUGUUGAAUCUGAUGUGAAGUUAUUAAGCAGAGAUUGGGACCAGACAGCUAAUUUCUCUUUUCCGCUGCCAGAAGAGCGUCGCAAAUAGAAGAGAAUUUCACAAAAUCCUGACACAUUUCAAAGAAGAUACUUAAAUCGAAAUCUGUAUUUGUACGUGACAAAAAUACGGUGCCAACGAUUUAUUGGAAAAUCUAUUCUUCUAUGCUUUAAAUCCAGUUAUUUUCCGCUAAUAAUUGUGAGGCAUAACAAAAAUCAGGUCUCAUCGUGUGGUGUCAAGAAAUGACGAUGUGAACAAAUGACGGUUAAGUACUUCCUCCGUCACAGUGACAAUUGAGAAGAAAAAGCGUGGAUUUGCAAUUUAGGUAAAAUGUCGACUUUCUUCUUAUCCUCGUCUCAGAAGUCAAAAGUUGAACAGACUGCCUCUCAGCUUUCUCCGCAUUUUCGGCUGGUUUGACACGUUCGUUAGUUUAGAAAGUUUAGCUACGCAAGGAAUAUCCCUCAGCCUAUCCUAACUUCAAAACUUUAAUAUCAAGCUCACAAAAGUGAAAAGACAAACGUUUAGGUAAUUCCGGACCAACAUAGUUUUUUUUAUUGUACAACGAACGUUCGAAACAGAAUUCAUGGGUUUGGAGGAAGCAGGAACCAAAAUUCUUGCAUGUGGUUUACAAAUUAUCUUCUCAGGAAAAGUUCAAAUUAGAUCGACAUCCCUUUCACAACGAGGGAUGGCUCGUUCGUGUAAAAAUAUCGCAACUUUCAGUACAUACACUUUAUUUAGAGUGGGUGAUGAUGUGUCCGUGUUGCUGAAAUGCGUGCACCUUCCUUUCAUUUCUCUACAUAAUAGGACAAUCCUGUGCGCGUAGUUUGUUUGCUAGAAAGCAAUAGUAGUGCUUAUAAACCGUACAAGUAUUUAGUAUUUCUGGCCGUUCAAACCAAGGCGAAAGUAAAACUGGGUCUAUUAUUUCGUCCGCUUCAGAAACAUUUGAGCUUCAGGAGCAUAAAAGUAUGAGUGUGGAAAGGGCAGCUCUUCACAUAAACGUGGAUCGAUUUCCUUUCCUCCCUGCGACUUUCCUCCUUCGCCUUCUGAUGCAUGCAACGUAGAACCGACGACGACGACCAACCAUGGAGUGUGUGUAGAAACAUAGCGAAACAUUUCGCCUACCAACUUUCUCUCUCUUUAUCCCGUGAAACGAACGACGAUGCAGCAGCAGCAGCAGACCUCGAUGGGAAGGAGAGAGAGAGGGAUCGUAUUCCCAUCUUCUCUCUUGUUUGCAGUUCUUUAGCCGCAACUUGUAUACACAUCCAUUAAAUUCAACCCUGUUUCGUCCCAUGUAUCCACAUGAUACUGUUAUUACGAGUUGCGAUAAUAAAAUGAAGUUGAAGUAAUGGUGGAUAAAAUGCAGGCCCACACACACACACACACGAUCCCAUUGUUGGUUCUCGAAUAAAGAUAUAGCGCAGAAUUUUAUCUCUGCAAGUCGAAUGUUGAUGGGUAAAUGGAAUAGGUGUCCUAAAGUUUUAAGAAGGAACAUGAUUUGAAAUUAUUGCCCCUUUCGAUCGAAUAUACUUGGCUUCGUAGCAUUUGAGAACAUUGUAACAAGUUUCCUACAUACCACGCACAUCGUCGAUCCGUGCUAAGUAUGAAGGAUGAACAUUUUGAAGCAUCUCACCGCAAUAGCACCCUCAACUUUAGACUACCAAUUUCAUUUACCUAUUUGUAGCAGCUCCGUCUCUACGUGGAUAGAUUUAUUGUUUGAGCUACACUUUAUACAAUCUAUCCAAUUCAUCCAGGAAAUUGCAACCGUCAGAAUGAAGAUGAAGUUUCCGUUUGGUUCCAUGUUUCAAUCAAAUUUUCGUGGGAUGUGUUUGGAAUACGUUUAAAUGAAAAUUCUCAAGUCAAUUCACUCAAGGCAUAAAUGUAGCAAGGACCGAAAGACUAUGCGGAAGAAUAUGAGGUUGGAAUGGAAUUCGUGAUUGUCUCUAGAAUAAUAAUACAGCUUGAAAGAAGGAAAUGGGAGCAAGUGUACAUACAUAAAUCAAGGAAUUUAACUGCGAAGUAAGUUAAGAGUGCAUACACAUAUAUGCUACAUUUAUACAUGCAUACAUAAAUACUAAAUGUGCAUACACAUGUAUUCAAGGUAGAUGUAAACAUGUCUUAAUAAUAUUGUCCUAGAGUGCGAAAUACUUUCGAGGAAUGUGUAUUGUGAAAAAAUGACAAACAAACUCAUUUAUUUCAAGUUCAAGGUUUUCUAAUACCAAAUAUUAACUUUACAUGAAAGUAUCAAAAGUUGCAUUUAUCUUAAAACUCGUGAAAUUGAUUUCAUUUUAGAAAUUAGUAUAUUUAAAGACGUUGAAUAGGGGUAGAGCGACAUUAGCAAUCUAUGAUGCACCGUCGUGUUAUCUUUACAACCUUAAUGUAAGGGACAG